CACCAAUAGCGAAGAUCCACCCCCAGAUCGCCAUGCUGCUGCAGCUGCUGGUCCUGGCCUUGCUGGCCUGUUCGUUCGAGUCAGCCAGUGGCCAGUCUCCGUCGCCCAAUGACGAGCAGGGGCUGAAGCAGAUGGAGAAGGGGCUGCAGCAUGUGCAGGGCGUUGAUGGGGUUGGCCGGCAGAGCCGUGGCGAUCCCAACAGACGCGGUGAGGAGCAAGACGCUGGAAUUUCACAAGUCGUCUGAGGCAAACGGGGAUAUACCGCCCUCCCAGAAGAUCUUAUGGAGGUCGCAGGCGCAGAACCACCAGGUCGUCCAGUAGUUCGUCCACUUCCAGUUCCAGUUCCGACUGAUCUUCAUAGCCGGAUCUGGCUUUGAAAUUCUCAGAAGUCUGCAUGGCCGACGCUGCCUGUGACUCCCACUGACUCCCGCUGCUUGUGACUCCUACUGACUCCCGCUGCUUGUGACUCCCACUGUCCGGGCCAGCAGAACCAAAGGUGCAAUCGUGACGGAAAUCCCUUACUAUUCUUAUGCUUGAGGUGUUCGGUGACGGAUCCCUUUUCUAUGUAAGGCCUUGAAUGGCGAUGCCACGUGGAGGGCAGUCGGGCUUUUCUGAGAACUUACCCUUCGCAAACGCUUAUUUGGAUUUUUGGUAGACUAUCCAUAUUAAUGUGUGUUGUUGGAGAACAUUUGGAAGAAUCGUGUCAAGCAAUGCUCAAAUGUUGCAGAGCCCCCUUCAAACUAUGGAAUCAUCCCAAUUUGAGUCUGAUUCGGUAAUAGAACAUUGCGUCGCGGGCCUCGGUAUGCUUCGAAGUGUAGCCUGCUCUUUCCUCCUCAGUGCUUGGCUCAAAUGGUGAAUUGUCAA